ACAUCUCCGCAGCCCAACUGCCAACAGCAGACUAUAUAAUGAACCAUCUGUACCAUAACAGUUAGAGCCUAUUGAGAUGCAUUGAUAACACCAAAGAAAUCUCAUUUUUUUAAUCCUUUUAUCCUCUUGGGUGUUGUUAGACUGAGUCACAUUUCUAAUUGUAUGAUAAAUUGAAAAUGUUGGCAGGAACUUAACUUUUGUAAAAUUUGAGCUUUUUAAUGUUACUUUGAUUGUCUUUCUGGUGGAUUUCUUCGCCGCUACCCUGCAACGGAAGGAAAAGUUGACGUAUGAACCGAAAUUACUGGGAAGCAAAGCCUGCCGCUAUAUGGUGUUAACAGAAGAAACAAAAAUCUUCCCUUAGUCUCUUACGGUUUGACUGAACUAUUCAAUUAUGCCUUUUCAGGGACAAGCUGAAAUGCAGAUCUCAUUGUGGUCCUUGGACCAGUCAUUAAUGGAAUAACUGAAAAAGGACAGCCGUUUUUAAUGGAAGACAGGUACUCCUGUCAUAUUCUAGAAGGUGUCAAAAACAACAAUUAGAAGUAACAGUGGCAGUCGCAGAAGACCAACAUUCUCCUAGAUUGUGACUGGACUCAGGUCUUCUGUUUAAGCAAGACGAGCCUGGCCUCAUCUCUUUUUGCUUUGAAUUCCCACUUGAACAGUAGCAGGUCUACAAGUCCUAUGGCCACAGUAAUAGUUUUACCUGCUUGGCAGCAGAUGCUGGGAAAUUACAGAAGAAACAAAUUAUUAAGUCACUAAGUGUUUGUUACCUUGAAAGGAUCGUGUGAAUGCAGGACACAAACUCAUGUGUAAUAAAGGAAAUACUCCUCCAGAAAAUUAAUUUUUCCAGAGAAGCUCAAUCACUCACCUUGCAGUUCUCCACUCCGACUAUAGAGCUCCCUUCUCUGUUCUCGCAGAUAGGCGCUCAUACUGAUGGCAUGGGAGGACGAUUCGAACCUGCAGAGAAACACAGGGGAAACAGACAAGCAGGUGUAAACCAAUUAAGUGCUGACCAGCUCUGUAUUCCACAUUAUUCUACUCUGGUCUGUGUGGUGCUCCCCGAUGUUCCGUGAUGAAGACACUUUGGCUAUACCAUGACAGGGCCAGGGCCAGCUGCCGCAGACCUUGAUUUAUGAGCGAUAUUCCUGGCUAAGGCUCCUUUACAACCGUAUUUGGAUCUUUUGCUUAUUCUGCAUUUCAACUGGUACAACUGUGAUCUGUCCCAACUUCCUUUUGCUUUCAGACCCCCAUCAGCCUUUAGCCAGGAUCCUUAUACAUGCAGCAACGAAAGCAUCCUAUGAAGUCAUUCUAAUUACGUUACCAUCCAGCUCAGAAGUCACCAGUGACUGCCAGCUACCAACACAGACACACUGGCUCCUCAGAGCAGAACUCAUGCCUAACUUCCACAGGUAGAGGACUAGACAAAGGACAUACUAGAAAUGUGGCUGAAUAACAGCACCAGAAAAGCAAGGCAGCUAUAAUCUCUCCCUAAAUGGCCUAAAAAACAGUUUCUUUUCUAAAUGGCUGCUAGUUUUUUGACGUGCUGCCUACAAUAUAAAAUACUCUCAAAAAUACCAAGCUACGCAAUAUUUGUUCACACCUACCCAGGAACUAUUUCAGAGGUUAGAAACACUGGUGAAGGAGGGAGAAGGAGGGAGAGACUCAUGAUAAAGAACAGGUUUCUAAAACCUAAAAUAAUAACUACAAAAAGAAAUAACAAAAACAAAUCAGUCUUAAGAUAAACGUGCAAGUAAGAAAAAAAACAGAUAAAAUUAUGACAUAUCAAACAGUAAAUCCUUUGAUGUGAUAAGAGAUCCCAUUUCAAACUGAGAUUUCAAAGGCAGGAUAACAACCUGCCAGAUGGAGGAAUCCUUCUAAGAAUGACUGCCACUAAGGGGUAAAAGCAGCAACAUAGUACGAGCAACAGUGCUAAUGGGAUAGGUUUCUGGCAACAAGGCAGGCACACCAUCAUUUUCUUAAUUAUGCCUUCUUUAUCCUUUCCUUGACAAGGAACAUGAAUACUGAGAUGAAUGUCAGUCUGUGAGGGAAACACUUGGGUUACGUGAUCCCCUCUCUGCACCCUGCCAAGAACUAAGAGGGUACUAACAGCCAGAAAGAAGGCAAAGUGUGCAGUACUUCAAACAUGCCACCUGCCAGUCAAGUGCAGAAAAGAAGCCACUGACCUCCAAAAAGCAUGCUGACAGCUAUUGAUCAGAUACGGCAAAGAAAAAAAAUAAAUAAACUCUUAAGCAAAGAAUAGAGAGGCACACAUAGCACAAUAAGGCAGGACUUAAACAGACUUAAUUAACCUUAGCUAAGGGUAAUUAAAGAGGGUAAUAAAGUCCUCCACAGAUGUGAUAAAAACAGUCAAAAUCUUAAUCCUUUAUGACUUGAUGUAUUUUUGGUACUCAGGAAUUCUUUUUAUGUCUGCAACAAGUCACAGACUGAUAUAAUUUUGCAGUAAAAGAGGCACUAGAGAUUGAGUCUCACCUCCUUAGUUUAUAUCCAGAGAUACUGAGACCUGCUCAGACACACAUGGGCUCAAUGAUAGCACCAAGACUGGAAACAGACAAAUCUGUAAUAACGGCCUAAUUCUGUGUCUGUGAUAAGUUUCAUUACUGCCCAAUAAUAAAAAAUGUGUAAUAAUUAUUUAAGCCAAUUUGUUCAUUUCCAACAAUUUCUUUUUUUUUUUUUCCCAAUACCACAACUUCAGAAGCACUGGCUAAAUGUUUGAAAAUGUGUAUGUGGUCUGACUGAGGUUGAAAGUCAGCGGUGAUGGUUGAGAGCAUGAACUUUAAACCCUAAAGCCUGUUUUCUGCAAUGAUUCCAUAUUUAGAAGGUUAAAUUGAGCUAGAAAUAGAGAAAAGAAAAAAAAAAAAAGAAAAGAAAAGGGCCUGCUUAGGCGCAUCUGAGACAGUGUCAGUUGCCUCUACCAACUACCUUUUCCUUCUACUAUCUUUGUGCUUGCUGGCAUAGCCCUGAUUCCAUCUGGGCAUUCUGCUUCCUUGCUCUUUACUCAGCCAUGUGCUCAGAAAAAGUGGCUUCCUCUCCAGCUGGAAACCUAGCACCAGAGAGAAACCUGCCUAGUUUAAGACAACCACUGAGAUCUGCUUCCCCUUGCCAGUGACUAGUUUAGGAAUGGGCUUACGACCCAAUCCUAGAGCUUAAUAGGAACUUGCUGAAGAGUUUUGUCAUUAGCAGAAAUGAUUAAUAAACUGAUAAUUCGUAAGUACUAAUUUAAAAAGAUUUAAAAUGGUGCAGCCACUUUAGAAGACAGUUUGACAGUGUCUUAUGAAGCUAAACAUAGUAUCACUGAAUGAUCCAGUAAUGUUGCUCCCAGGUAUUUACAAAAAUGAGUUGAAAAUUUAUGUCCACACCAAAACCUGCAUAUGAGUGUUUAAAGCAGCUUUAUUCGUGAUUGCCAGAAGCUGGAAGCAAGCAAGAUGUCCUUCAAUAGGUAAAUAAGCAAGCUAUGGCAUAUCCACACAAAGGAAUGUUACUCAGCAAUACAAAGAGACACCUAUCAAGCCACAAAAAGAUGUGGAAGAAAGAUAAAUGCAUAUUGCUAAGUGAAAGAAGCCAUUCUGAAAAGGCUACACACUGAUUCUGACUAUACAACAUUCUGGAAAAAGCAAAACUUAUGGAGAUAGUCAAAAGAUCAGAGGUUGCCAGGGGUUAGGGAGGGUGGAGGGAUGAAUAUGUGGUGAAUGGAAGAUGUUUAGAGCAGUGAAACUGUUCUGUAUGACACUGUAAUGGUGGGAACUUAUGCCUUGUCAAAACCCAUUAGAACUGUACAACACAAAGAGUGAACUCUAAUGUAAACUAUGGAAUUUAGUUAAUAAUGACAUCUCAAUACUGGUUCAUCAAUUCUAACAAACAGACGCUAAUACAAGAUGUUAAAUAGGGUAAAAUGCAGAGAAGCGGGGAAUAUAAAGGAACUCUCUGUACUUCCUGCUCUACUUUUCUAUAAACCUAAAACUGUUCUAAAAAAUAAAGUCUAUAUGUUUUUUAAAGAGAGAGAUUCACAGGGAGAAUCACAUGCAAUUUUCUUGCCCACACUGUCUUUACUGGACUGGAACUGAUGGAUACACCUCGUGAUCGCAAUAGAAAACAUUACUAAUGUGUUGAGGAUGGCAAUGCAGAGAGAUGGAAAGGGCUGAGUCCUUUAUGAUAUUGUACAGUUGAAUUAAGGAAACCUCCACAUUCAUCCUUGUUACGUGAGAUAGUAACUUUCCUAUAGUUCAAUCUAUUGUAUUUAAAGUUUUAUGUUACUUGCAGCCUAAAGCAUUGUAACUGAUAUUGCAUCCACUCUCUGAAUAAAACUGUUUAAAAAGGAAUGCAUUCAAUAAACAGAAUAGAUUUCAUUUCUGGCAGGGAUAUACUAAAUAAAUCUCCUCUCUGCUAGAUCACAAAAUAAAUAAACUGUUGAAGCUUUAAUUAUUAAAAACACUAAAAAUCUAAGAUAAAAACAAGCCUCAAAUGUGAAUCAACAGAAGAUAUUAGAUCUCCAACUGCUGAAAAAGAAUAAAUUCAAUAUACUGGGAUACUUCAGUGGUGGUCACUUUACAUGCUUAUAUUUACAGACACAACUUCUUAAAUAUCUACUAAAUCCUCAAAAGAAAACAGAUCUAAAGUAAGACUGCCAGGAUUUAAAUCCUCCUUCUACCACAUGCUAGCUAUGAGACCUUCUGUAAAUUACUUAACCUUUCAUGUCUCUAUUUUUUUAUAUGUACAAAAGUAUUAAAAAUACAACCCUUGCCUAUAAGGUUGUUGUAAUUAGUAAAUAAAAUAAGCUAUGAGAAUAAUUUAAUGCCUUGAUUAGCACUUAGUAAGAACUCAAUAAACGUUAGCUACUACUGCUGCUGCUAAAAUUUAGUAUACUCAAAUUUAAAGUAUGUUUAACUGAGAUUAUUUUGGGAAA
rnacentral:lncRNA from 10 species